AUUGUUUUUCAAGUUUUGCCUCUUGAUCUCUGCCUAUAAAUUGAGGGCUUCAUAGCAGCCUGCAAAUCACCCCAUAACCACCAACACCACCAAGCAGAAGGAAAAUUUUGCUAGAGAGAGAGAAAAAUCUUGUGAGAAAAAACUUCAGUGUGGAAGUUAUACACGAGUGAUAAAAGUGAGUUGAGAGAUAGCUUCUGCGUAGGCAGAUACAAAAUACAGUGUGGUAUUUUUGUUGUACUCCUUCUUUUGAGAUUCUCUAAUAUAUUGGUGUGGGUCCGUGGACGUAGGCAGUUUGGCCGAACCACGUUAAAAAUAUCGGUGUCAUUUUUUCUUCGAUUCGUAUCGGUCGAUAUCUAAAAUAUUGCGUCAUACUAGAUCCAGGCCGGAAUUAGUUGUGUCUAAUUUCCCAGCAAAUGUAUGAAGUUGGUGUGGGACCCAACAGUGAGAUAUUACUAAUGCCUGAAAGGAUCUAAAUUGUCUGAAAAAAAUUCACAUUUUUAGGGAAAAAGAUCACAUUUGGUUCUGCAGAAAAGGGAAAAGGUAGAGAAGAUGAUGCAGAAAGAAUCCAAAUCAAGAACCCCAUCAACACAAAUGACCUCAACAGUUGCCAAGUAAAGUGACUUCAACACAGAUAUUUUGGAGUUGGUCAUAUAUGAUAGGAUCACUGGAUCAUCAAAUGUUUUGGGGGUUAAUAAAAUGAGUUUCAGAAUAGAAAACAUCUCAAAAUAUUUAUACAAUAAAGUCGAUAGUAUGUAGUUACUCUAUACACGGCAAAAAUAGAAAACGUGUUGGGAUGUACAUUUUUAUUUUAUUUUAUUUUUUAUUUUUUUGAAGUCGUACAAUCUUAGAUAUUAAUAAGCCUAAAUUCCGAAAU